rnacentral:rRNA from 1 species
UACGAAGGGGGCUAGCGUUGUUCGGAAUCACUGGGCGUAAAGCGCACGUAGGCGGAUCUUUAAGUCAGAGGUGAAAUCCCAAGGCUCAACCUUGGAACUGCCUUUGAUACUGGGGAUCUUGAGUCCGGGAGAGGUGAGUGGAACUGCGAGUGUAGAGGUGAAAUUCGUAGAUAUUGGGAAGAACACCGGUGGCGAAGGCGGCUAUCUGGACCGUAACUGACGCUGAGGCGCGAAAGCGUGGGGAGCAAACAGG